CCUACGGGAGGCUGCAGUGAGGAAUAUUGGUCAAUGGGCGGGAGCCUGAACCAGCCAAGCCGCGUGAAGGAAGAAGGCGCCAGGCGUCGUAAACUUCUUUUGUCGGGGAACAAAGGGCGCCACGCGUGGCGUUGUGAGUGUACCCGAAGAAAAAGCAUCGGCUAACUCCGUGCCAGCAGCCGCGGUAAUGCGGAGGAUGCGAGCGUUAUCCGGAUUUAUUGGGUUUAAAGGGUGCGUAGGCGGUCCGGAAAGUCAGCGGUAAAAGCCCGGGGCUCAACCCCGGCGAGCCGUUGAAACUGUCGGACUAGAGACGGCGAGAAGUACGCGGAAUGCGCGGUGUAGCGGUGAAAUGCAUAGAUAUUAGGAGGAACACCAGUGGCGAAGGCGGCUUACUGGACGAUGACUGACGCUGAGGCUCGAAAGCGUGGGGAGCAAACAGGAUUAGAUACCCGUGUAGUC
rnacentral:rRNA from 1 species